rnacentral:ncRNA from 15 species
GGCAUGGCUCAGUGGCAGAGCAUUUGACUUGUAAUCAAAAGGUCCCCAGUUCGAUCCUGGG